UGCCGCGUGCAGGAUGACUGCCCUAUGGGUUGUAAACUGCUUUUGUCCAGGAAUAAACCUAAAUACGUGUAUUUGGCUGAAUGUACUGGAAGAAUAAGGAUCGGCUAACUCCGUGCCAGCAGCCGCGGUAAUACGGAGGAUCCGAGCGUUAUCCGGAUUUAUUGGGUUUAAAGGGUGCGUAGGCGGCCUAUUAAGUCAGGGGUGAAAUACGGUGGCUCAACCAUCGCAGUGCCUUUGAUACUGAUGGGCUUGAAUCCAUUUGAAGUGGGCGGAAUAAGACAAGUAGCGGUGAAAUGCAUAGAUAUGUCUUAGAACUCCGAUUGCGAAGGCAGCUCACUAAGCUGGUAUUGACGCUGAUGCACGAAAGCGUGGGGAUCGAACAGGAUUAGAUACCCUGGUAGUCCACGCCCUAAACGAUGAUAACUCGAUGUUGGCGAUAGACAGCCAGCGUCCCAGCGAAAGCGUUAAGUUAUCCACCUGGGGAGUACGCCCGCAAGGGUGAAACUCA
rnacentral:rRNA from 1 species